rnacentral:rRNA from 1 species
CAGCCGCCACGGUAAUACGAGGGGGGCAAGCGUUGUUCGGAUUUAUUGGGCGUAAAGAGUGCGUAGGCGGUUUGGCAAGUCUUGUGUGAAAUCUUCGGGCUCAACCCGAAGCCUGCACGAGAAACUACCGGGCUUAAGUAUUGGAGAGGUGAGUGGAAUUUCCGGUGUAGCAGUGAAAUGCGUAGAUAUCGGAAGGAACACCUGUAGCGAAAGCGGCUCACUGGACAAUAACUGACGCUGAUGCACGAAAGCUAGGGGAGCAAACAGGAUUAGAUACCCGGGUAGUCCCUGUCUCUUAUAC